UUUUCAUUGAAGUGACCAAAACAGAUCGAAACGCUUUGUCUGGCAA
rnacentral:hammerhead_ribozyme from 1 species